UACAGAGGUCUCAAGCGUUGUUCGGAAUUACUGGGCGUAAAGCGCGCGUAGGCGGUCUUUCAAGUCAGGAGUGAAAGCCCCGGGCUCAACCCGGGAAUAGCUCUUGAUACUGUUGGACUUGAGUCCGGGAGAGGAUAGUGGAAUUCCCAGUGUAGAGGUGAAAUUCGUAGAUAUUGGGAAGAACACCAGUGGCGAAGGCGGCUCACUGGCUCGUAUCUGACGCUCAGGCGCGACAGCGUGGGGAUCAAACAGG
rnacentral:rRNA from 1 species